rnacentral:misc_RNA from 1 species
UAUGAGAGAGAGAUGGGAUGGUUGAAGGCAGUCAACUCCACACCCAACCUGAUUCACGGUGUAGCCCGAGACACUAAGGUACGCAUCGGUGAUUGGAGAGGUACCUUAGAUUUCUUUGUUGUCUCUAUGGAUGAUUCUCCAUGCAUACUUGGGGUCGAGUUCGUGGACCGAGCUAAGGCGAUCCCAAUGCUAUUCGCCAAUAGCAUGUGUAUCACGGAGGGAGGU